GGCGGCGUGCCUAACACAUGCAAGUCGAACGGAGUUAGCGCGUGAUGAAGCUUCGGCAGAUUCUGUAACUAGUGGCGGACGGGUGAGUAACGCGUGGGUAACCUGCUCAUACAGGGGAUAGCAGUGGAAACGACUGAUAACACGCAUAAGCGCACGGUAUCGCAUGAUACAGUGUGAAAAUAUUUAUAGGUAUGAGAUGGACCCGCGUCUGAUUAGCUAGUGGUGAGGUAACGGCCCACCAAGGCGACGAUCAGUAGCCGGCCUGAGAGGGCGGACGGCCACAUUGGGACUGAGACACGGCCCAAACUCCUACGGGAGGCAGCAGUGGGGGAUAUUGCACAAUGGGCGAAAGCCUGAUGCAGCGACGCCGCGUGAGUGAAGAAGUAUUUCGGUAUGUAAAGCUCUAUCAGCAGGGAAGAAAGACCUCGUAAGAGGGGAUGACGGUACCUGAGUAAGAAGCCCCGGCUAACUACGUGCCAGCAGCCGC
rnacentral:rRNA from 1 species